rnacentral:rRNA from 1 species
CACGGGGCGGGUGCUUACCAUGCAGUCGAACGCUGAAGCCCGAGCUUGCUCGGGUGGAUGAGUGGCGAACGGGUGAGUAACACGUGAGUAACCUGCCUAUCACUCUGGGAUAAGCGCUGGAAACGGCGUCUAAUACUGGAUAUGUCCUGUCACCGCAUGGUGUGCAGGUGGAAAGAUUUAUCGGUGGUAGAUGGACUCGCGGCCUAUCAGCUUGAUGGUGAGGUAAUGGCUCACCAUGGCGACGACGGGUAGCCGGCCUGAGAGGGUGACCGGCCACACUGGGACUGAGACACGGCCCAGACUCCUACGGGAGGCAGCAGUGGGGAAUAUUGCACAAUGGGCGCAAGCCUGAUGCAGCAACGCCGCGUGAGGGAUGACGGCCUUCGGGUUGUAAACCUCUUUUGUCAGGGAAGAAGCGAAAGUGACGGUACCUGGAGAAAAAGCACCGGCUAACUACGUGCCAGCAGCCGCGGUAAUACGUAGGGUGCAAGCGUUGUCCGGAAUUAUUGGGCGUAAAGAGCUCGUAGGCGGCUUGUCGCGUCUGCUGUGAAAACCCGAGGCUCAACCUCGGGCCUGCAGUGGGUACGGGCAAGCUAGAGUGCGGUAGGGGAGAUUGGAAUUCCUGGUGUAGCGGUGGAAUGCGCAGAUAUCAGGAGGAACACCGAUGGCGAAGGCAGAUCUCUGGGCCGUAACUGACGCUGAGGAGCGAAAGCAUGGGGAGCGAACAGGAUUAGAUACCCUGGUAGUCCAUGCCGUAAACGUUGGGAACUAGAUGUAGGGCCUGUUCCACGGGUUCUGUGUCGUAGCUAACGCAUUAAGUUCCCCGCCUGGGGAGUACGGCCGCAAGGCUAAAACUCAAAGGAAUUGACGGGGGCCCGCACAAGCGGCGGAGCAUGCGGAUUAAUUCGAUGCAACGCGAAAAACCUUACCAAGGCUUGACUUAUAGAAGAACCCUGCAAAGAUGCAGGACUCUUUGGAACCUUCUAUACAGGUGGGGCA